CGCGCCAUGGCCUGGGCCCCUCUCCUCCUGGCGCUGCUCGCCCACGGCUCAGGAUCCCUGGUCCAGGCAGCRSUGACUCAGCCGGCCUCBGUGGACGUGUCCCCCGGAGGCACCGCCACCAUCACCUGCUCUGCUGGUAGCAGCAGCUGGUUUGGCUGGUUGCAGCAGAAACCUGGUGGUGCGCCAGUCGUUGUGAUCUAUCAGAACGACAAGAGACCCUCGGGCAUCCCGGCGAGAUUCUCCGCUUCCACGUCUGGCUCCUCGAACACUUUAACCAUCACUGGGGUGCAAGCCGAGGACGAGGCCGUCUAUUACUGUGAUGUUUGA